UACGAAGGGGGCUAGCGUUGCUCGGAAUCACUGGGCGUAAAGCGCACGUAGGCGGCUUGUUAAGUCAGGGGUGAAAUCCUGGAGCUCAACUCCAGAACUGCCUUUGAUACUGGCGAGCUUGAGUUCGGGAGAGGCGAGUGGAACUGCGAGUGUAGAGGUGAAAUUCGUAGAUAUUCGCAAGAACACCAGUGGCGAAGGCGGCUCACUGGCCCGAUACUGACGCUGAGGUGCGAAAGCGUGGGGAGCAAACAGG
rnacentral:rRNA from 1 species